UACGUAGGGGGCAAGCGUUGUCCGGAUUUAUUGGGCGUAGAGAGCGUGUAGGCGGCUUGGUAGGUCCGCUGUGAAAACUCGAGGCUCAACCUCGAGAUGUCGGCGGAAACCACUUGGCUAGAGUCCGGAAGAGGAGAGUGGAAUUCCUGGUGUAGCGGUGAAAUGCGCAGAUAUCAGGAAGAACACCGGUGGCGAAGGCGGCUCUCUGGGCCUUACCUGACGCUGAGGAGCGAAAGCGUGGGGAGCGAACAGG
rnacentral:rRNA from 1 species